AUACGACACUCAAUGAUUAACAGCUCAUGAAAGAUGUCGUCUUUUUUUUCCUCAAACAGAAGGUGAAAUCAAGUGAGCAUGGUUUGAAUUUUGAAUUUUUGUUGAUUUUGUUAUUUGCCAAUGUGAAAAAAACAAUCAAACAUAGCGAUUACUUUGGCAGCCAUUGGCAAGAGCUCUUCAAGAGCUUUGCUUUUUGAUGUUUUUGUCUUUGGUUUGAUCAUAUGAUGUUUGUUGUCCUUCGCGUGGACUGUUUUCAGCAUUUUCAUCACGACAUUCGUCAAAGGAGAAGAAUCUGUGCUUGGUGGUUGCGCCUUAUCGGCAGCACCUGUGUACCAGCACUGAUUUUGAUUGGGAGGAACAUCGGUGAUAUUUGACUGUCGUCGCUGGACAGCUUGUGUUUUUUGCACCUGUAAUGGGCAGCAUUUUUCGUACAGUUUUGUUCAGUGGAGAUGCCGUCGCUGCUGGAGUAGUCUGCGUUGGUGCGGCUGGAUGGAUGGCUUGCGGAGGCGAGGAUUAGGAGAGAGUGAUGUCAGCGCGGAGCGAGGAUGCGUAUUUGGAAAUGAGAGUCGCCGCUUGGAAUUGAAGUGGACAUGAGAACUUCGCUGUGCUUUAAAACGGUGGAACGCAGAGCAUCCGCUGAGCAUCUACUGCUCGGACGCUGAGCAUCUCGAGGGUUCAGGCUUUUAGCUCCAGUGUUUCCUCAUGGGGGGCCUUUACGCUGGGAGUUGUGGCUGGCCUUCUCACAGGGACGUCCUGGAGCUCCUUAGGCCUAAGAGAACCGGGGGCUCUGCACUAUGUAUUGGUCAAUC